UACGUAGGGGGCAAGCGUUGUCCGGAUUUAUUGGGCGUAAAGAGCGUGUAGGCGGCCGUACAGGUCAGCUGUGAAAACUCGAGGCUCAACCUCGAGCGUCGGUUGAAACCGUACGGCUAGAGUCCGGAAGAGGAGAGUGGAAUUCCCGGUGUAGCGGUGAAAUGACGCAGAGUAUCGGGAAGAACACCCGUGGCGAAGGCGGCUCUCUGGGACGGUACUGACGCUGAGACGGCGAAAGCGUGGGGAGCGAACAGG
rnacentral:rRNA from 1 species